GCGGACGUGGCGGAAUGGCAGACGCGCUAGGUUGAGGGCCUAGUCCACGCAAGUGGGUGUGAGUUCAACUCUCACCGUCCGCACCA
rnacentral:tRNA from 1 species